UAAGCAUAUGGUGGAUGCCUUGACUCGUAUAAGCGAUGAAGGACGUAGCAGGCUGCGAUAAGCCUCGGGGAACUGUCAAGCAAGUUUUGAUCCGAGGAUUUCCGAAUGGAGCAAUCCAACAGUUUUUAACUGUUACCGUAAACUGAAUUCAUAGGUUUACGGAGCGUACCCAGCGAACUGAAACAUCUUAGUAGCUGGAGGAAAAGAAAUCAAUAGAGAUUCCGUAAGUAGUGGCGAGCGAAAGCGGAUCAGCCAACACUCUUUAGCAUUAAACUUAGUAGAAUGGUCUGGAAAGUCCAAUCACAGAGGGUAAUAAUCCCGUAUACGAAAAGUUUUUUGUGGAACUAAGUGUGUAAUAAGUAGGGCGGGACCGGAGAAAUCCCGUUUGAAGAUGGGAGCACUAACUUCCAAGGCUAAAUAUUAUACGAGAUCGAUAGUGAACAAGUACCGUGAGGGAAAGGUGAAAAGCAUCCCGAGAGGGAGAUGAAAUAGUAUCUGAAACCAUAUGUUAACAAUGAGUCAGAAUCGUGCUUGCACGAUAAUGGCGUGCUUUUUGCAGAACGAGCCAACGAGUUAGUUUUAUAUGGCUUGCAUAAAUUACUUUGUAAGAUAUGCAUAGUGAAAGCGAGGCUUAACCGCCGUCCGCCAUCUGGCGGAGUCGUAUGAACUAGACCCGAAUCCAAGCGAGCUACGCAUGAGCAGGGUGAACUUCGAGUAAAAUCGGAGGGAGGCCCGAACCCACUGAUCGUUCAACAUCAGGGGAUGACUUGUGCGUAGAGGAGAAAUUCCAAUCGAGCUUGGCAAUAGCUGGUUCUCUCCGAAAUAGCUUUAGGGCUAGCGUUCGGUAAAUGAGCAUGGGAGGUAGAGCUACUGAAUGAGUAUUCGCGGUUCGCCGUAGGAUACUCAACCAAACUCCGAAUUCCUGUGUUUCUUACCCGAGCAGUUAGAACCUCGGCUCUAAGGUCGAGGCUCAAAAGGGAAAAAGCCCAGAUCAUAAUCUAAGGUCCCUAAAUUCAUGUUAAGUGGGAAAGGAAGUGAAGUUUCUCAAACACCUAGUAGGUUGGCUUAGAAGCAGCCAUCCUUUAAAGAGUGCGUAAUAGCUCACUAGCUUAGAGACUCUGCGCCGAAGAUGUAACGGGGCUAAACAUGAUACCGAAGAUAUGGAUUUGUAACUUUCAUUGAGAAAAACUUUAAAAUUAAAAAAGAUAAAAAAAGCGGUGAGGAAGCCGAGAAGCAUUUUAUUACCGUUCUGAAAAAUGAUAGAUAGCAAUCAGGCUAUUUAUUGGAAACAUUAAUAUGUCACUCCACUUCUCGGCUAAGUUAAACGACACGAUGUUUUUAAAAGUUUUUCGAUAAAAUUUGGACAGCGUUUUAAAUUUUGUCUUCUCAAUGAAAGUUACAAGUGGUAGGAGAGCGUUCUAUAUGCGUUGAAGCCAAAGGCGUGAGCCAUGGUGGAGUUUAUAGAAGUGAGAAUGUUGGCAUGAGUAAUCGCAAUGCGAGUGAGAUCCUCGCACCCCGAAAGUUCAAGGUUUCCUGGGCAAUGACAAUCAUCCCAGGGUUAGUCGGUCCUAAGGCGAGGCUGAAAAGCGUAGUCGAUGGACACACGGUUAAUAUUCCGUGACUAUGAUAAUAUUUGAUGGAGUGACGCAUUUUAGUAACCAUCGCGCAUUAUUGGAUUUGCGUAGGGUAUUUAAGGAUGUAUAGCAGGUAAAUCCGUUAUACAUUAAAUCCAAGAAUAUUCUGGAAGUCGCUUUUCGAAGUGACGCACGAUGGAGAGCAGAGUGCCAGGAAAAGCUUCUAAAAUUAGUAUUAUCAUAUCCGUACCGCAAACCGACACAGGUGAACAGGGCGAGUAGCCCAAGGGGAACGGGAGAACCUUCGUUAAGGAACUCGGCAAAAAAUCUAGACGUAAGUUCGCGAGAUGUCUUCCCCGAUGCAAAUCGGGGCGCAGCUAAAGAAACCCUGGCGACUGUUUACCAAAAACACAGGUCUCUGCAAACCCGCAAGGGGAAGUAUAGGGGCUGACACCUGACCAGUGCUGGAACGUUAACGGGAGCGGUUCACGCCAAUCCCCGAAGCGCCAGUGAACGUCGGCGAUAACUAUAAUCGUCCUAAGGUAGCGAAAUUCCUUGUCGGCUAAUUACCGACCCGCAUGAAAGGUGUAACGACUGGGGUACUGUCUCAACGAAGGACCCGAUGAAAUUGCAAUGACGGUAAAGAUGCCGUCUACCUACGGCAAGACGAAAAGACCCCGUGGAGCUUUACUACAGCUUGGCAUUGAAUUAAGAUUCUGGCUGCCGAGAAUAGGUGGGAGACUUUGAAGCCUCAACUCAGGUUGAGGUGGAGUCAUCAGUGGAAUACCACCCUGUUAUUAUUUUAAUUCUAACCCUGUGCUGUUAUCUGUAUUUUGAAUUAGUAUGCUAAUUAAGAAUACAGGCUUCAUAUUAAUAUUGUUUUUUCAACUUUGUUUAUGAUCCUAAAUUAACUAUAAUUAAUUUGAUUAUUUUAAUUAAUCAAAAUUAUUAUAGUAUAAUUCUUAUUUAGCGUCU
rnacentral:rRNA from 1 species